GCGGGAGUUUAUCCGUCGGCAGAACUUGAGAACGUUGCGGAGGCUCGACCACCGGAGAGGUUCGGACGGAUGUUGUCGAAGGUCGGACGUCGGUAGAACCCAUGGGGGGUCACUCCUGACACGAACUUCGGCUGGGGGGGUAUUUUAUACCCAACACCAGUCCCCCUACUUUCGAGUUCAAGUUUCGAAUGAAGGAAGUAUAGAGAAAUUUUCAUAGCCGAAGUUGCCCCAUCGAAUCCAGUGCACGUCCGUCCUCGAAAAUCCUGGCAUUCAAUGC
rnacentral:lncRNA from 1 species